UAAAGCUCAGAUGCAGACUGUAACAGACAAGCCUGUUACUAAGUCUUUUGUCUGCAGUUUUCUUCCUCACUGCUAGGGGUGCUAUAGCACCUAAUUGAGCUCCUUAAGUAAAGGUGAGGUUUUAGAGGAAGUUAGCAGAACAGCAGCAGUAGGAAGCAUGGCUUUAAUGCAUUUGUGCUAUGUCCUGGUUGAGAAAUGUUCUAUUUCAAGCUCAACUUAAAGGGCAAUAACAGGCUAAUUCUGGAGUUCCUUCAUCCUGAGAUAAUUCCGAGGCUGUUAUCCACCCCACCUUUUCCAUCCUGUUGUUCCGGCACUCCUGCUGAGGGCUUGUGAGAUGCUUUGAGGGCGUCUUGAAAACCUUGCUUUGCCGGAGUUGCCUUUGGGCCACCACCAACAUCUCUAACCAGUAAAAACCCAGGAGACUAACACCUUAACAUUUUAACGAACAUCUUGAUUUGAAUAUACACAUAUAUGCCAGACGCACACUUUAAUAGUACACUUCUUGUUUUUUUUUUUUUCACUUUUAGUUGAAGGCUACUUGGGUUAUUUCAGGUAAAGUUAACAGUCUGGUUAUGAUAAAAUAAAAGUUAUUUUAUUGGAUAAUAGCACUGUAGUUCUGUUCCAAAUCUAGCAAGCUUGUUGUCUUGUAUGUUAUAUAUAUUGUAUGUAUAAAUAUAACUAUAUGACUAAAAGUGCGGUCACAUUUACCAGUGUUCUGCAAAUUUUCAUGGGCGAAAUCAAGCCUUUUCAAUAGGGAUUUCUGCAUGAGGGUGGAAGAUAUUUCCUUCAGACGUUGUAACGAGUUCAAGUUGGUCACGCAAAUUCACUCUGUUAACAAACAGAAAGCUUUAUGAGGUUUGAAAGGGAUUUCUGUGUGAGCUGUGCUUCACUACUCUGUUGACAAUAGAGUGCCACAGUCAGGUUUCAGAAGUUAAAAUUCCAUUUAUUUUCUCCAUAGCGAAAUUGUUUUUUACCGAUAACUUAUAAACCUUUAAAUACAGUGAGCUACAAGGUUAAUUGAUGCUUCUGUUAAAGCUCUUAGCCCACAUUAUUUUAACUUAUAUUUUUUAAAAUAAUCAGCAAAUUGUGGUGAAAAACUACAUUAUCCAUGAUGAUGUGCAAAAUUCCACCAAUCACAGUCAAAACAAGCAGAACAAGCCAAAAAAAAAAAAAAAAAAAAAAAAACAGUCUAAACUGCUUUGCUAGUUUAAGUUGGUCUUAGCUGAUUUGAGAUUGUCCUUCUACCCAGCCAAGCUGGUGCUGCCAAUUUCUCUGUCCGAUCAUCCAAAAUCCAUCUAAAACCAGCAAACAGACCAGCCUAACCAGCCUGAGAGACCACCUAAGACCAGCAAAACAGCUUAGACUGAAGAUUUUUUUUUUUUUUUUUCCCCACAGCAGGGAAAUAGUGCAAGAUAUACAUAUGUACUAUUGAUAUUUUUUUCUAUGCAGUUUAAUAUUUAUUUAUAUUCAACAUUUCUCUUGACUCCUGUAUGAACAUGCUUAGGUUUGUUGCAUUGAAUUUUGAGAUUUUGAGCACUAUUUUUGAAAAUGUACAUUGCCCUCCAAAAGUUUGGAAACACCCCUGGCAAAGUGUGGUUUUGGACGAU